rnacentral:lncRNA from 1 species
AUGCCCCGAGCGGUCCUCCUGCCAGAGCCUUCCAUGGGAAGCAGGGCACACGUGAGCCAAUAUUUGGGAAAUCCCUUCAAGAAACGGCUUUGCAGGUUUGCCGUCAAGCCCUUCUGCCUCGCUGACAGCUCGAAAGGAGCGGUGCCAGAGCCGCCGCUGUGCGCUGAGCGCUGCGGGCGCUCCGUCCGUCGGUGCGUCCGUCGGAGCGCCGGUAGGUGUUGCUGUAGCGACGGGAAUCCAGCCCCGGCCGGGAGCUCCGGGGCAGAGCGAGCCGGCCAGCCUCCCCCCCCACCCCCGACACACACACCUCCUCCUGUUCUCCCCCCGCUUUUCUUUCAACAUCGCAAAACUGCAGCCGCAGCCUCAGCGACGGGCGGCGGGGUGCGAAUCAAGAGGUGUCCGGGGCAGCUCUGCACGCACAGCGCUUGGAAACCGGGGGGGACUCGCGGCGGAGACCCCCCCCCCUUCCCCCUCCCCGUCCCGGCCGAGCUCCGAGCGGUGCGUUCCACCUCCCCGGGUCCCGCCGCCCCCGGGCGCCGCGGGCACAGCAGCCCCGGCCCAGACGGCGCCUCCGCGGCGCGCCCGCCCGGCUCCGUCCGCCGGGACCCGGGGAGCCCCGACCCCCGCGGCCGGGAGCGCCGAGCCGCAGCCCCCGCACCCGACGGCGGACGGCGAUCCGCACUCCCGACGGACGGACGCGAGCCGUACACCCCGACGGUGGAGCGGCCCCGAGCCGGACCGUUGGCGAUGCGAACCUUCCCCCGCUCCCCGCUCCCCGCUCCGGGCCCUACCUGCGGCGGCGGCGGCGGUGGCUGCGGCUCUCGGCGCGGCGGCUCCGGCUGCAGUGGCGGCGGCGCCUCCCGCUCUGCCGCUGCCGGGGCUGCGCCGCGCCGCGCCGCGCUGCCCUUUUUCGUCAGUGGAAAACUCCGGGCUCUGACGCAGGCGGUGACAGGAGCGGGGCCGGCGCGCUCCCGGGCCCGCCCGGCUUCCUGCCCCCCCGGGCGGGGCGCUGACUCAGGGCCGCCGCCGCCGCCUCCCCGCCCCGCCCGCCGGGGGCGCUGCCCGAGAGGGGCCCGAGGGGCGGCGGGGCGGUGUGAGGACGGGCGCCGAGGGAGUGGGGGGUUCCCGCCAAGGCCUGGAGCCCCCAGAACACGACUUCCCGGCGGGGCUGGGAGCCACAACCACGCUAGGACCCUGAAAGGGGUUUGGGUGCCUCAGGAUGUUCAGUUCCCUCAAACGUUUGUGGGGGAUGCAGCCACACCAGGUCCCCAGAAGGGAUUUGGAUGCCUCCAAGUGUUCGGAUCCCUGAAAAAUUUGGGGGGACACAGCCCACGUCAGGACCCCAAAAAGGAUUUGGUUGCCUCAAGGUGUUCGGAUCCUGCAGAAGUUUUGGGACACAACCAUGCUGGGAUCCCAGAAGGCGUUUGGAUGCCUCAGGUUAUUCAAAUCCCACAUGGAAUUUGGGAACCUGCAAAUUCCACACUGUGGCCCUGAAAGGGAUUUUCAUGCCUCAGAGAGUUCAGAUCCCACGAAAGGCUGGGGACAAACAACCACACCAGGACCCCAAAAGAGGUCUGAAUGCUUCAGAAUGUUCAGAUCCCACAUGGAAUUUUGGAACCCACAAUUGCACUGUGACCAUGAAAGGGAUUUGCAUGCCUCAGGGAGUUCAGAUCCCAUUAAAGUUUGGGGGCACACAACCAUGCUGGCACCCCAGAAGCAGUUUGGGUGCCUCAGGCUAUUCGGAUCCCACAUGGAAUUUCAGAACCCACAGUUGCACUGUGACCCUAAAGGGGGUUUGGAUGCCACAGAGUGUUUGGAUCCCUCAAAAGUUUGGGGAGACACACAACCAUGCCGGGACCCCGUAAGGAAUUUGGAUCAUGAAGUCCAACCAUUUACCCAUCCCCCCAUGCCCACUUACACACAUCAGUCAGAGACACAUCUCCAAGGCGCUUCACACCUCUGGGGACAGUGACUCCACCUCCCCCAGCACAGGGGAGUAGUGCCAAUGCGUUAACCCUCGUUCAGAGAAGAUGGGGAUUUGGAUGACUCAGUGGAUUCAGGUCCCACAUGGGGUCUGGGGAACCAAAGCCACUGCUUGGAUCUCAAAAUGGAUUUGGGUCUGCCGUGGGAUUUGGGUCCCUCAAGGGAUUUGGGGCCUACUGUAGAUCAGCCAAGCCCAGAAGAGAGUUUGAGCUUCAUGAGGGGUUUGGACCCCACAGACCUGACCCCUGAAAAGGCUUUGGGUCAUGCAAAAGGGUUGGGUAUCCGGAAGGUUUAUGAGACUCACGAGGAAGGAUUGACCCUGAAAGGGAGUUGAGCUCUGCAAGGAGUCUGAGUAUCUUUUUGGGAUCCAUGGACGCAGCUUGGACCCCAGACUGAACUAGGACCCCAGUGAGGUUUGGGUACCUCAGGGGGUUGGGACCCACAGGGUUAGCCUGUGGCCAGCCAGACCCAGAAGAAGAUUUGAGUCUCAUGAGGAGUUUGGGUCCCACAA